UCAGCGCUUAGAGCAGCAAGCACUCUCCAUAAGGCUGUCACUGGCAACAUCUGAAGCCUCUACAUACCUGGUGUCACUGAGGUCCUGCAUGAAAGGUUGGAGCCAAGUAUGGUCAAUUAAUCCUCUGUUAUUUAAUUCUCAGUCAUUUAAUCCCUAAUUAAAUAAAAUUUAAUCAUUGUGUAAUGUAAUGCUAAAGCUUUGACUCAAGUAUGCAUUUAAUCUACUACACCUGCCUCUUUAGUGUGAUAUUACCGGACUGGGGUGGAUCAGAUCACUGAAGGUUAGCUGUACUUCAAAGAAUUUAACAGUAUAUAUAUCAAGAACUUGACUUGUCCAUGUAGAGACUACGUUACAGAACCUACUUCAUCUCCAUUGCAAAUUGUGCCUAGUUCAACAAUGUGUGUACUUGCAUGGCUGCAGCUGGAUACUUGAGGUAACACCUAGCGUAAAGCGCAAGACAGAAUGGCAUGCCUGGAAGUAAUACAAUUUUAUCAAAGAGAUGUUGAAGUGAGAAAGCAAAUAUAAUUUGUCAAAGCUUAUUGCUAUUACCCAGAAUGGACAAAAAGUAUUCAUUAUAGUGUCUACCAAGACCCGCACAACAAGCUCU
rnacentral:sRNA from 1 species